rnacentral:rRNA from 1 species
AGCCCGCUCAGAAACUCAAAGGAAUUGACGGGGGCCCGCACAAGCGGUGGAGCAUGUGGUUUAAUUCGAUGAUACGCGAGGAACCUUACCUGGGCUCAAAUGUAUGUUGACGUAUUCUGAAAGGGAUACUUCUUCGGACAAUAUACAAGGUGCUGCAUGGUUGUCGUCAGCUCGUGCCGUGAGGUGUCGGGUUAAGUCCCAUAACGAGCGCAACCCCUAUCAUUAGUUGCCAUCAGGUCAAGCUGGGGACUCUAAUGAAACUGCCUACGCAAGUAGUGAGGAAGGUGGGGAUGACGUCAAAUCAGCACGGCCCUUACGUCCAGGGCUACACACGUGCUACAAUGGCCGGUACAAAGGGCAGCUACCUGGUGACAGGAUGCUAAUCUCAAAAGCCGGUCUCAGUUCGGAUCGGAGUCUGCAACCCGACUCCGUGAAGCUGGAUUCGCUAGUAAUCGCGCAUCAGCCACGGCGCGGUGAAUACGUUCCCGGGCCUU